rnacentral:rRNA from 1 species
AAGUCGUAACAAGGUUUCCGUAGGUGAACCUGCGGAAGGAUCAUUAAAGAGAUGGGGGUGGAUAUGAUUGUCAUAUUCACUCACAGUAUUCAUCCUUGUGUUAUGUAUAUUGUUGAUUGUGUGUACCAUAAACAAGUACACACCUUCAUUUUUAUCAACCAUUCAUCAAAUCCAAUUCUUAUUCCUAUUGCCUGUAAAAAGGCACAAACAAUCGAAAACUGCCAGCAAUGGAUCACUCGGUUCUCGCAUCGAUGAAGAGCGUAGCGAAUUGCGAAAAGUAAUGUGAUUUGCAACAUUCGUGAAUCAUUGAAUUCUUGAACGCACAUUGCACCGUGUGGGUUACUGCACGGUCUGCCUGUCUGAGUAUUGACUAGAACUCUUAUCAGCCUUGUGCUGGAUGAUGGAUGUUUCACCGUUUGGUGACAUCUGCAACACAAUCUACACUAUGCACAUUAAUGGAGUUGUGCGUAUGAUCUCGAGGCACUUGUUGCUAAACAGUUCAUAUUCACAUACCUUCCCAUUGGUGCAAUUCAGUCAAAACCUUCUCUUUUGCAAUCUCAGAUCAGGUAGGAUUACCCGCUUAACUUAAGCAUAUCAGUCAGCGGAGGAAAAGAAACCAACAGGGAUUCCCCUAGUAACGGCGAGUGAAGCGGGAAUAGCUCAGGCUGAAAAUCAAGUGUGCAUGUAUGUAUGUCUUGACGUGUGGUCUGACGAGGCAUGCCCGGCAGCAGUGCAGACUCAAGUCCUCUGGAAAGGGGCACCGUGGAGGGUGACAGUCCCGUUCGCAGUCUGUGAUUUGCAGCCAUGAGGGCAGUCUUCAGAGAGUCGGGUUGCUUGGGAGUGCAGCCCAAAUAGGGUGGUAUACGCCAUCCAAGGCUAAAUAUCAGCGAGAGACCGAUAGCGAACAAGUACUGUGAAGGAAAGUUGAAAAGCACUCUGGAGAGAGAGUCAAACGAGCACGUGAAAUUGCUGGCAGGGAAGCGCUGGGCGUCAGUGCGCAUAUGCAAGGGAACAGGUUUAGGGCGGUGGUCUGUGGUUGUGUACGAUGUGCAUGAUUAUGGUGCUGCUGGCUUGAACUGCAUGCCCUUGUAUGUGGGUCAGCAUCGGUUGUACGAGCUGCAUAACGGUUUGGCAUACAAUGCUUCGGUGUUGUGGGCCAGGUGCAGCGCAGUUUGUGCGACCGUGGAAAACAGGACGAUCCUCUUUGGAGGGUAGAUGCACAAUUGUAGCUGAUAGGCUGCUACGAAGCAACAGCGUGCUGGUGUUUUAGAGAAAGUUUGUUACUUGCAAUUGUCAUCAGCGUCCUACAGAUGCUGGCGAAAUGGCGUCCAUCGACC